GAAAAGCGUAGUCGAUGGGAAACAGGUUAAUAUUCCUGUACUUCUGGUUACUGCGAUGGAGGGACGGAGAAGGCUAGGCCAGCUUGGCGUUGGUUGUCCAAGUUUAAGGUGGUAGGCUGAAAUCUUAGGUAAAUCCGGGGUUUCAAGGCCGAGAGCUGAUGACGAGUCGUCUUUUAGAUGACGAAGUGGUUGAUGCCAUGCUUCCAAGAAAAGCUUCUAAGCUUCAGGUAACCAGGAACCGUACCCCAAACCGACACAGGUGGUCGGGUAGAGAAUACCAAGGCGCUUGAGAGAACUCGGGUGAAGGAACUAGGCAAAAUGGCACCGUAACUUCGGGAGAAGGUGCGCCGGCUAGGGUGAAGGAUUUACUCCGUAAGCUCUGGCUGGUCGAAGAUACCAGGCCGCUGCGACUGUUUAUUAAAAACACAGCACUCUGCAAACACGAAAGUGGACGUAUAGGGUGUGACGCCUCCCCGGUGCCGGAAGGUUAAUUGAUGGGGUUAGCGCAAGCGAAGCUCUUGAUCGAAGCCCCGGUAAACGGCGGCCGUAACAAUAACGGUCCUAAGGUAGCGAAAUUCCUUGUCGGGUAAGUUCCGACCUGCACGAAUGGCGUAACGAUGGCGGCGCUAUCUCCACCCGAGACUCAGUGAAAUUGAAAUCGCUGUGAAGAUGCAGUGUAUCCGCGGCUAGACGGAAAGACCCCGUGAACCUUUACUGUAGCUUUGCACUGGACUUUGAGCCUGCUUGUGUAGGAUAGGUGGGAGGCUUUGAAGCGUGGACGCCAGUUCGCGUGGAGCCAUCCUUGAAAUACCACCCUGGCAUGCUUGAGGUUCUAACUCUGGUCCGUAAUCCGGAUCGAGGACAGUGUAUGGUGGGCAGUUUGACUGGGGCGGUCUCCUCCUAAAGAGUAACGGAGGAGUACGAAGGUGCGCUCAGACCGGUCGGAAAUCGGUCGCAGAGUAUAAAGGCAAAAGCGCGCUUGACUGCGAGACAGACACGUCGAGCAGGUACGAAAGUAGGUCUUAGUGAUCCGGUGGUUCUGUAUGGAAGGGCCAUCGCUCAACGGAUAAAAGGUACUCCGGGGAUAACAGGCUGAUACCGCCCAAGAGUUCAUAUCGACGGCGGUGUUUGGCACCUCGAUGUCGGCUCAUCACAUCCUGGGGCUGAAGCCGGUCCCAAGGGUAUGGCUGUUCGCCAUUUAAAGUGGUACGCGAGCUGGGUUUAGAACGUCGUGAGACAGUUCGGUCCCUAUCUGCCGUGGACGUUUGAGAUUUGAGAGGGGCUGCUCCUAGUACGAGAGGACCGGAGUGGACGAACCUCUGGUGUUCCGGUUGUCACGCCAGUGGCAUUGCCGGGUAGCUAUGUUCGGAAAAGAUAACCGCUGAAAGCAUCUAAGCGGGAAACUUGCCUCAAGAUGAGAUCUCACUGGGAACUUGAUUCCCCUGAAGGGCCGUCGAAGACUACGACGUUGAUAGGCUGGGUGUGUAAGCGUUGUGAGGCGUUGAGCUAACCAGUACU
rnacentral:rRNA from 1 species